AGUGAACGCUGGCGGUAGGCCUAACACAUGCAAGUCGAACGGCAGCACAGUAAGAGCUUGCUCUUACGGGUGGCGAGUGGCGGACGGGUGAGGAAUACAUCGGAAUCUACUUUUUCGUGGGGGAUAACGUAGGGAAACUUACGCUAAUACCGCAUACGACCUACGGGUGAAAGCAGUGGAUCUUCGGACCUUUCGCGAUUGAAUGAGCCGAUGUCGGAUUAGCUAGUUGGCGGGGUAAAGGCCCACCAAGGCGACGAUCCGUAGCUGGUCUGAGAGGAUGAUCAGCCACACUGGAACUGAGACACGGUCCAGACUCCUACGGGAGGCAGCAGUGGGGAAUAUUGGACAAUGGGCGCAAGCCUGAUCCAGCCAUACCGCGUGAGUGAAGAAGGCCUUCGGGUUGUAAAGCUCUUUUGUUGGGAAAGAAAAGCAGCAGGUUAAUACCCCGCUGUUCUGACGGUACCCAAAGAAUAAGCACCGGCUAACUUCGUG
rnacentral:rRNA from 1 species